CGCGUUAUACUAUUUGCACGCAGCAACCGAAAGAUCCCCAAAGUAGAAUUUGCAUUUGUACUGAUUCUAAUCUUUCUUCGUGUACGCCAGGAUGAGGAGACCACACAAUCAUAUCUGUUCAACUAUUAGUGAAUUUCUUUAUUCCACGGGGUUAGUGCCAACUUUCGGGUGGAAUAAAAAAACGAUUUCGAUCUACGAUCUGAAGCCUUGCGCUGGUGUGCGUGAGACGCAUAGCGACGACAUAGAAAGCCGAAACAGUAGCUGCAGCAUCAUUGCUGAUUUCUGAAAGACCAUCCAUAUUCAGUUCCUCUUCUUCAAUCAAUUCGCAACCCAAAUCUUCUCCACAUGUUAGUAGGAUUGAGAGAGACUAAAAAAUGCAUUCAUUUGCAUUGCGCUGUCAUUCAUAAACAAACAUGCACGCAUCACCCGCGUGUUUCGAUCGUUUUGAAAGAUACCAUGUAAUAGUAUCGAUGAACCCACUCGAAAAACUGACAAAAGUUACAGUGCGAACCUGUCUGUUUUGCUGGCGCUUCCAGGUCAAAACUGGGUCAAAAUCGAGCUAAUAAUGAAGGGUUUUGAUAGCAGUUAGUGCGCUUCCAAGUCAAAUCGAGGUAUCGACAUCUGGAGAGGACGCAUUUUACACUCAAAAUUAUAAUAUACUUAUACCAUUCAUACCUGCUCGUGGUGAAGAAUUAUUUCGGUCUCUCUUGUCCUCAUAUAAAAAGCAAAAAGCAAAAAGACUGUGCGACCUUCGCCGCUCUUUCGUCGAGAAAAUUCUUUGUUCUCUCCGGUACUGGUAUAGCGAGAGUGCUUUCCCAUUAUAAUCGUACAGUACCACCCGUUUUUUUUGAACAUAUUUUUUUAAUGAAUUUCAUUGUUGCCCGAUUUGAAAACCAAUCGUUUUUAUACAUAGUACUAAAUGUCGCAAGUAGUGCUGUGUAUAACAUGUCUGAUAUGCAUUACGCGCAAUGUUAGGUCUAAAAAACGGUACGAGAAAUUCGGAUUCCAACUCCAACGAAA